rnacentral:rRNA from 1 species
GACGAACGCUGGCGGCGUGCCUAAUACAUGCAAGUCGAACGCAGGGGGGACGGGUGAGUAACACGUGGGUAACCUCCCAUCAGAGGGGAUAACACUUGGAAACAGGUGCUAAAACGAUAUUGAUUGAUGUACCUGCGGGGGAGUAGCUAGUUGGUGGGGUAACGGCUCACCAAGGCCACGAUGCAUAGCCGACCUGAGAGGGUGAACGGCCAAACUGGGACUGGGACACGGCCCAGACUCCUACGGGAGGCAGCAGUAGGGAAUCUUCGGCAAUGGGCGAAAGUCUGACCGAGCAACGCCGCGUGAGUUAAGAAGGUUUUCGGAUCGUAAAACUCUGUUGUUAGAGAAGCGGUAUCUAACCAGAAAGCCACGGCUAACUACGUGCCAGCAGCCGCGGUAAUAC